rnacentral:rRNA from 1 species
AACGAACGCUGGCGGCAGGCCUAACACAUGCAAGUCGAGCGAGACCUUCGGGUCUAGCGGCGGACGGGUUAGUAACGCGUGGGAAUAUACCUAGAGGUACGGAACAACGCCGGGAAACUGGUGCUAAUACCGUAUGUGCCCUUCGGGGGAAAGAUUUAUCGCCUUUAGAUUAGCCCGCGUUAGAUUAGCUUGUUGGUGAGGUAAAAGCUCAC